CACUGCUCACAGCCGGCUGGGCUUUUGGGUGCUGAUGCAGGCGCAGUUUUAUGCCCCUGAUCAUAGGGGGAACCUGAUGCCUUGAAUAGAAAUGUAUUUGGUGGAUGGCAGUAAUGUCCCUCCCGUGACUGCUUAACCUCACUUCAUAAAAAAUUGACUAACAAAGCCAGGUUAAGAAAUCUCAUAAGGAGCACCAUGUUCACUUAAUUAGGUCCAGUAAUUUCGGGCUUUAUAAUCUUUGGAAAAUUAAUCAUUUUUGCCUGUUUUGAGAGUGCUUGUUAUUAUUCUUAGUCUCAUUUUAUUUUUUAAUCUUCAUUUGGUAAGAUGUUGUAUAUUUGACUAAAGCCAUAAUUUUUAGAAAAAAAAAAAAAGUAUAGUUAGUCAUAGAAAAUACGUCAGAGCAGAAGCACUGCCGAGGAGAGUGUCACUAUGAGUCCCGGCUUUCUGCCCACUCUGCUGUGUGCCUGAGAGCUUCCUGCCUCCCUCUUUUUCCUUUGUGUGUAGGCUGUGGUUCUGCUGAACGUUUUUCCUGUAUUCCCCAGAACUGUGCAGCUUUGUCGCCACACAUGUGGCCCAGGAUCGAAAAACAGUCACGUAUCCAGCUGUGGGGCUAAUGCUGCCGGCUGCUGCCCGGUUGCCCCUCAGGCUCAGAGGCUGCAGAAUGACUUGUCAGGCCCUGAAAUGCUGGGAUCACACUGCUGUUGAACGCGCAGAUGUCUUUGACUACCUAGUAGAGUGCUAGGACUUUUCUCUCCUUUCUGUCUGGUUUGCCCUUAUUGCUAUGUCUCAACCUCUGGAGAAAAGGGACUUCUAAUCUAUCACUAAGAAUUUUCUGGCCUUCACCUUCUAACACUGUACAGAAAUAUUGGUUAUAUUCCAUUUAAAAAAAUUUAAAUGACUUAUAUUUUAAAUUAUGAGUAAUAUAUAUCAGCCCUUUGAUGCUCAGCAGAGAAAAAGGAUCUGUUAAUUUUUUUUUAAGGUGGGGUUUUUAUACUAAAGGAAAACAGUCAGAAUUUGAAAUCCAAUAAUAAUUUUAAAAAGCAGGAAACUAAAUGUGGAAUGACCCGUAGAUGAAUUAAUAAGAUAGCACAGGAAAGACAAUGGCAAUAUUACUGUUUAUUCAAUCCAGAUCUGAAAAUCCAAAGCCUUACACCAGGAGUCAGCAAACUGUAGUCUGAGGGCCAAAUCUGGCUUGCCACCUAUUUUGUAAAUAAAGUUUUAUUGGAGCACACCCAUACCCAUUUAUUUAUAUAUUGUCUUUGGCUACAUUUGUGUCAUAAUGGUAGAGUUGAGUAGUUUCAACAGAAACUUGUGGCUUUAUAAAGCCUAAAACAUUUACUAUCUGGCACUUUGCAGAGGAAGUUUUCCAGGCCCUGCCUUACCUCAGCCAUUGGCCAAUGCUACUCUACCUCUUCCUCUACCAGCAGCAAUACCAGUACCAGUGGCACUUUGCCAUCCACAUAUUCUCUUAUUCCA